ensembl:lncRNA
ACAUGCCAAAAAAUAAUUUGUAAAGCACAUGGCUAAGUAACAUUAAUACCUUUAUUCAAUAUUAUUCAUGUGAACUGUACGAGUUUCCUCUGAAAUCUGUCCAUCUUAAUAUUUCAAUUCUAUUUUGAAGAAUAAUAGCAUUUUUUCAGUGAUUCUGCUAUAUAUAAAGGAAACAUUGAAGUCUGAUUUAAUGGGAUUUUUUUCCUGGAUUCAGGGCAAUUAAACCAUAACAUCUUAAGGCAGAUGUAGACACUUCAUGUUUUGUGUGAAACAAACAGGAAAUAAUGGUACAUGCAGAAUAAAACAAGUGGGUCUUAGAGCAGAUGGAAUGCAGAUCCAGCACGAUGCUGGAUCUGCAGAGGGCUGCAGAAAGAACUGAAUCAAACAUAGAAUAAUGUGAAAACAUGUUUGUUUUCCCAUCAGGAAGGCAGCUCAUUGCUACUAAGCAUGGCGAACUACAAUACAUGCAGAAAUCUUGUAUGUGCUGAAUACUAUCAAAGAUUUUUUUUUACUGUACUUUGUACAUCUAGUUAUUGGCUUUGGUAUAGUCUAUAUUUGACCAUAAAGAUAGCCAUCUGAAAAAUUUGAUAAUGUAAAACUAAAUUACUAUGGAAAAUGCUCAUAUACAGUGUACACUUUAUGUAUUGUUGACAAGACAAGCGAGACACAUGUUAAUUCAUUCUGACAGAUGAACAUCUGUGUGGUUCGUGAGCGGAGGCUACCAGGCGGUUUGGCAGGCGGCCGGCGACGAGGACACCGCUGAACCCGGCGGCACGGCGACCUCAGGCGUAGUAGGACCCUCGCGUGCCUCGUCCUGCACCUCCGGCUGGUGUUCAUGCAGAAGUCCAGUAAAGUGAAGUCGCUGUGCUGUUUUGUUUUUAUUUUAAACAGUUAUGGCAGAAUAAAUCCACCCAGCUGGCAAAGUGAGAGUUGACUCCUCUGGUCAUUCGCACAACACAACGCAGAGAACUAACGGCAAUCAGAGUUUAAGGCCAGACCGGCUACACUGGCCCGGUCCUGGGUCUGCUGCGCCCCCCUCCUGGGUUUCGGCACCACUGUAAACAUACUGCGGCAGUGGCAUUUUCAUGCUUUUCAGCAUCUCUUCAUUGCUAUAACACACACUGUUGCAGCUUUACAGCUCACAGCCCGACAUACCAACAACCAAAAUAUUCAGGACCUAGUUCGCUCUUAUAGCCAGGGGAGGCGUGACGAACUGAUGCAGGUGAGGUGUGUCAGCCUCCCCGCAGCCGCGCCACGAACCACGCCUGCCAACAAACCACGACUGCCGAUAAAACAGGAACAGACAGAUGCUUUUCACAAGGUCAAAUGGAUGCAAUAUUCUAACACACACCGAAGAAAAGACAAAAAUCUGCAGAAAGGAGAUUUGAGGAUUUAGUUGAUAUCUUGUUUUAGGAUGAAUAGUUAAUGACUGAACUGUAUUAUUUCAGAAAUUAAAUACUUUCAGUAAUUAUUCUGCUGCUUUUGAAACUUCCUCCAAGCUACAGUACAUUAUUAUUCUGAGAGUAAGGAAUUUAUUUUGCUAAUUCUCUUCACUUUCACUGAUGUAAUAUUAUGGAGGGCUUUGCAUUAUGCACUGGAAUCGAUAUUUGUCUUGUGCAUGUUUUUCAGUGAAUACACAUAGAUCUCUGAUUCUGUUGAAGUCUCCUGUCACAGGUAAUCAAUAUAAAACUAUGUUUGUUCGCAUUCAGGUGUGAGCCCUUACAAGAGAAAGCAGCUUCUUUCUUGUCUCUGGCCGAGGAAUGCUUUGUGUAUGAUUUGCUGACUAAGCUCAAAGUGUGAAAAAAAAAAAGUACUGCAAAAGGAAACCAAUGGAGGAAAAACUCUGAGACACUUUAUGCAAACUGUUGCCUUGCUUUGUUGAAUCUGAA